AUGUACUCCAUACAUUUUCACUGACACCCAAAAGUACUCCUUAUAUUUUGGAUGCUUAAGCAGGACAGGAACAUGGUUCUAUUCAUGCAUACCAAAUACUUUUAGACUUUUACUCAAGUACCAUUUUACUGGGUGACUCACUUUUACCUGAGUCAUUUUCUACUAAGGUACCUUGACUUUUACUCAAGCAUGAAAACUGGGUACCUUUCCCACCACUGAUACUACAAAUCAGAGGUGAAAGCAGUGAAGUGAAGGUCGAUGAGAGUUCUCGCUCUUCCAUGUAUUAUGUCUGUCUGAAACAGUGAGUGGGAGAAGACUGGACAGGCUGUCACAUUGCACCAUCCCUCCCAUCUGUCUGUCACUGUCAAAGCCUGGUUAGUGGUACCAGCUGUGCUCCUGCCUGUGUUUGUCGAUGCAGCGCAUUUGUGUGUGAGGGGGAGGCUAAGACACCCAUCUCCAGGGAGGUAACACUGACAAGAUGGAGAGCUCCCUGACUCAACCCCUAACACACAACACUCCUUCAGACAAACACACACCACUCCUUCAGACAAACACACAACUCUCCCAGACAAACACACAACACUCCCAGACAAACACACACCACUCCUUCAGACAAACACACACCACUCCUUCAGACAAACACACAACUCUCCUUCAGACAAACACACACCACUCCUUCAGACAAACACACAACUCUCCUUCAGACAAACACACACCACUCCUUCAGACAAACACACACCACUCCUUCAGACAAACACACAGCUCUCCCAGACAAACACACACCACUCCUUCAGACAAACACACAACACUCCUUCAGACAAACACACAACACUCCCAGACAAACACACAACACUCCCAGACAUAUUAUUGAACUCCUCGAUAAAUGAUCAGCUCAAUGUCUAUUCCACCGAGAAGCCAAAUAUUGACUCUGGUCUCACACCCGCAUUUUCAAUAAUAGGAUAUCUCAUUAAAAGAGAAAGGUCCAAAGUUCAAGAGCACCCUGUAGGACUGAAAUCCUGGGGGGCGGGACGGCUGGAGUAGCUAGCUCAAAGACAGAAUGAAAAUAAAUCAGGCAAGACUUUUCCGACAUUUUCUUGUUUAUCUUCAAGAUCACUUUCACAGGCAGGGUGCCUUGUUCCAUUACAUCUUAAAAACAAUAAAACCUUGGGUGUUUUUUUUUUGUCAUGAUUUUCAAAAUAUAUAUAUAUAUAUACACAGUGUAGCAAAGUUCCAGUGUGAAGUUUAAUAAAAAAUAAAUAAAAGACCGUCUCAAAAUGACAUUGAGUUGGGUGAACACCUGCUAAGUAUUGCAUCGAUAUCAAGGGGACAUUACAUAUCAGUUCCUAUACCAUGCUGAAUUAUGAAAAACCAGGGUCUUAUAGAGGAAAGCACAUUACACAUUUAGAUAGUUCUGCACCAUACCCUUUCUAACAUGCUUCUCUUGUUAGUCAACUAAAGCAUCAUGUAAUGUGAGCUCUAUACGUUACAUUUCUACGUACUGAAUAAGCCCCGGACUCACAAUAAAAUCUACUUCCAGGUCAAGGGUGGGUAACUUCCUCUUCCGUGAACAGACAACUCAGAAUCUCUUGGCUUUCAAGCAGAUGGCUGUACACAACCAGAGGAUCAAUGUGACGGUGGAGCCUUCAAAAAAGUCUAGGGCCAGAGUUACAGCAUUAAAGUCUUCGCAGUGGACUGUACUUCUCCAGGUCAUCACGGCCCAAAUGAGCAUGAAGAGGAGGGGUGAAGAAGAUGAGAGCAGGAGCAGUGAGAGAGGAAUAACCGACAGAGGGAACGACGGGGAGGACAAGUGUGCCUGUUGGAUCGCAGAUUCCCACAAGGUCUCAUACUCCAGGAUGGGAAAUGCUUACAAGAAGCAAACAGAAGAAGACAGACGUUGUCGAUUUCCAUUGUUACUUGUAAUGUUAAAAAGAAGAUGAAAAAUACCAUCCUUUUUUCUCUGAAAUAGCUAGCGAGCUAACUCGGCUACUCACCAUACACAUUUGAGUCAUCACUAUUAAAAUUGUUAUUUUAUGUUAUUGAGUAGGUCUAUACCUUUGUUUAUUUUUAAUGAAUCAAAUUAUUAAAACAACAAUAGACAUCCUUAUUAUUUUG